UACGUAGGGGGCAAGCGUUGUCCGGAUUUAUUGGGCGUAAAGAGCGUGUAGGCGGCUAGGUAGGUCCGUUGUGAAAACUCGAGGCUCAACCUCGAGCUGUCGAUGGAAACCAUCUGGCUAGAGUCCGGAAGAGGAGAGUGGAAUUCCUGGUGUAGCGGUGAAAUGCGCAGAUAUCAGGAGGAACACCGGUGGCGAAGGCGGAUCUCUGGGCCUUACCUGACGCUCAGGCGCGAAAGCUAGGGGAGCGAACUGG
rnacentral:rRNA from 1 species